rnacentral:rRNA from 1 species
UACGUAGGGGGCUAGCGUUGUCCGGAAUCAUUGGGCGUAAAGAGCGCGUAGGCGGCCAGAUAAGUCCGGUGUGAAAGUCAAAGGCUCAACCUUUGAAUGCCGCUGGAAACUGUCUGGCUAGAGUCCGGAAGGGGCGAGUGGAAUUCCUGGUGUAGCGGUGAAAUGCGCAGAUAUCAGGAGGAACACCAAUGGCGAAGGCAGCUCGCUGGGACGUCACUGACGCUGAGACGCGAAAGCGUGGGGAGCAAACAGG